CCGGUUCCGGUUCCGGUUCCGGGUCGGCACUGCCGCGAUGUCGGACUCGGAGAGCGAGGAGGAGGCGGAUGGCGUCCGCGCCGAGCCCUUCUCGCUGGCCGGGUUCCUCUUCGGCAACAUCAAUGAGGCGGGGCAGCUGGAGGGGGACAGCGUCCUCGACACGGAAUCCAAGAAGCACCUCGCCGGGUUGGGUGUGCUGGGACUGGGCAACCUGAUCACUGAGAUCACAGCCAGCGAGGAGGACAGCCCCGAGGCUGAUGGAGCCCACCUGGACGAGGAAGGCUGGGUUAAGAGCACAGAAGAUGCUGUUGAUUAUUCAGAUAUUAAUGAAGUGGCAGAAGAUGAGAGCCGGAGGUAUAAGCAGGCAAUGGGAAGCCUACAGCUAGUUCGAAGACCAGAUGAAGACGAGGAUGAUUAUGAUGCUGACUGUGAAGAUAUUGAUUCCAAGUUGAUGCCACCACCACCACCUCCUCCGGUACCUGGAAAGAAAGAAGAUGAAAAGGAUGCAGCUGCCACUGUAUCUGAAGAUGGAGACGGUAUCAUUUUGCCCUCCAUCAUUGCUCCUUCCUCUGCUGCCUCCGACAAGGUGGAUUUCAGCAGCAGCUCUGAUUCUGAGUCAGAGAUGGGACCUCAAGAAGCCAGGCAGGCAGAAUCCAAGGAAGGCAAACUCACACUUCCUCUUGCAGGAAUCAUGCAGCGAGAUGCUACCAAACAGUUGCCAAGUGUUACAGAGCUCUUCCCGGAAUUUCGACCAGGCAAGGUGCUGCGUUUCCUGCGUCUCUUUGGCCCUGGAAAGAACGUUCCAUCGGUUUGGCGUAGUGCACGAAGGAAACGCAAGAAGAAGCAUCGGGAGUUGGCACAAGAAGUGCACAUACAGGAGGGUGAAGUUGUAACUGAGAGUGGAAUGGAAGGAAAAUCUCCUUGGGAAUAUGAGUUUGCUGCUCCUCCCCCUCCAGAGCAGUGCCUUUCAGAUGAUGAGAUUACCAUGAUGGCACCCGUGGAAUCAAAAUUUUCCCAGUCAGCUGGUGAUAUAGACAAAGUGACAGACACAAAGCCUAAAGUGGCAGAAUGGCGCUAUGGCCCAGCACAGCUCUGGUAUGAUAUGCUGGGGAUCCCUGAAGAUGGCAGUGGAUUUGAUUAUGGUUUCAAGCUGAAAGAGAAGAAGGAGCAGGAGGUUAAAGAACGCACUGAUGAAGGGGAUGCAGCGUUGAUGGAUGAGAAGGAUGACCUGCUAGCUGAUGAGCACUUCCUUAUGGUGACACAGCUCCAAUGGGAGGAUGACGUUAUCUGGAAUGGAGAAGAUGUCAAGCACAAAGGGACUAAGACACAGCGGGCAAGUUUAGCUGGCUGGCUGCCAUCCAGCAUGACUAGAAAUGCCACUGCCUACAAUGCCCAACAAGGUUUGAACCGCAGUGGCUCUUUGCUUAAUCCACCGCUUCCACUAGCACAGAAAACAAAUGUAGCAGGAGUCCUAGGUAUAGCAAAGGGCAAAGAAAAGCAGGUCCCCGAACAGCAAGUUUCCCUGGAUGAAGACAAGCCCUGGUACUCCAUUUUCCCAAUUGAUAAUGAAGAGUUGGUAUAUGGCCGUUGGGAAGACAAUAUCAUCUGGGAUGAUCAGGCAAUGGAAACCUACUUGAAUCCCCCUGUCUUAACACUUGAUCCAAAUGAUGAAAACAUAAUUCUAGAAAUUCCUGAUGAAAAGGAAGAAAUGACUUCGAACUCUCCAUCCAAGGAGAACAAGAAAGAAUCUUCACUAAAGAAGAGUCGAAUCCUGUUGGGAAAAACAGGUGUCAUCAAGGAAGAACCACAGCAGAACAUGUCUCAGCCAGAGGUGAAGGAUCCCUGGAACCUCUCCAAUGAUGAGUUUUACUACCCCAAACAGCAGGGACUUCGAGGAACCUUUGGAGGCAACAUCAUUCAGCACUCUAUCCCAGCAGUGGAACUUCGCCAGCCAUUCUUUCCCACCCAUAUGGGUCCUAUGAAGCUCCGACAAUUUCAUCGGCCUCCCCUGAAGAAAUACUCUUUUGGUGCCUUGUCCCAACCAGGGCCUCAUGCUGUGCAACCUCUGCUGAAGCACAUAAAAAAGAAAGCCAAGAUGAGAGAGCAGGAGCGUCAGGCUUCUGGUGGGGGUGAAAUGUUCUUCAUGCGCACACCACAGGACCUAACUGGCAAGGAUGGAGAUCUCAUCCUCGCUGAAUACAGUGAGGAAAAUGCUCCUUUAAUGAUGCAGGUUGGCAUGGCAACGAAGAUUAAAAAUUACUACAAAAGGAAACCUGGCAAAGAUCCGGGAGCUCCAGACUGUAAAUACGGAGAGACUGUUUAUUGUCACACUUCUCCGUUCCUGGGUUCUCUGCAUCCAGGCCAGUUACUGCAGGCAUUUGAAAACAACCUUUUCCGGGCCCCUAUCUAUCUACAUAAGAUGCCUGAAACAGAUUUCCUGAUUAUCCGGACACGACAAGGCUAUUAUGUUCGAGAAUUAGUGGAUAUUUUUGUAGUUGGUCAGGAGUGCCCGCUUUAUGAAGUACCUGGUCCCAACUCUAAACGAGCUAACACCCAUAUCAGAGAUUUUCUGCAGGUUUUUAUUUAUCGUCUUUUCUGGAAAAGCAGAGACCGUCCUCGGAGAAUUCGAAUGGAGGAUAUCAAGAAGGCCUUUCCCUCACACUCAGAGAGUAGCAUUCGAAAGCGGCUAAAGCUUUGUGCUGAUUUCAAACGCACAGGCAUGGACUCAAAUUGGUGGGUUUUAAAGCCAGAUUUCAGAUUGCCAACGGAGGAAGAGAUCAGAGCAAUGGUAUCCCCAGAACAGUGCUGUGCUUAUUACAGCAUGAUUGCCGCUGAGCAGCGACUGAAGGAUGCAGGUUAUGGGGAGAAAUCCUUCUUUGCACCAGAAGAGGAGAAUGAAGAGGAUUUCCAAAUGAAGAUUGAUGAUGAGGUGCGCACAGCUCCAUGGAACACCACACGAGCUUUCAUUGCUGCUAUGAAGGGCAAGUGCCUUCUAGAAGUGACUGGUGUGGCAGAUCCUACUGGUUGUGGUGAAGGAUUUUCUUAUGUGAAGAUUCCAAACAAACCAACUCAGCAGAAGGAUGAUAAAGAACCUCAGCCAGUGAAAAAGACAGUGACUGGGACAGAUGCUGAUCUCCGCCGCCUUUCUCUCAAAAAUGCCAAACAGCUUCUGCGUAAAUUUGGAGUUCCUGAAGAGGAGAUAAAGAAGCUGUCUCGGUGGGAAGUGAUUGAUGUGGUACGUACGAUGUCUACAGAGCAGGCUCGUUCAGGGGAAGGUCCUAUGAGCAAAUUUGCACGUGGAUCUCGGUUUUCUGUAGCAGAACAUCAGGAGAGAUAUAAAGAAGAGUGUCAGCGCAUCUUUGAUUUACAAAAUAAGGUUUUGGAGUCCACUGAGAUACUGUCAACAGACACAGAUAGUAGCUCAGCUGAAGACAGUGACUUUGAAGAGAUGGGAAAGAAUAUUGAGAACAUGUUACAGAACAAGAAAACUAGUUCUCAGCUCUCUCGGGAAAGAGAAGAGCAGGAACGAAAGGAAUUGCAAAGGAUGCUUCUGGGAGAAGACAGUGGCAAUGACAAAGAGAGGGGCAAAAAGGACAGGAGAGACAAAAAGGCGCUGUCAUCAGCUUCAGGAGCCUCAGCAAACUCUCACAAAGAUGAUGACACUGCCUCUGUAACUAGCCUUAACUCCUCUGCCACUGGCCGCCGCCUCAAAAUCUAUCGCACGUUUAGAGAUGAGGAUGGGAAAGAAUAUGUGAGGUGUGAGACAGUUCGGAAGCCUGCUGUUAUUGAUGCCUACUGCCGAAUACGGACUACCAAGGAUGAAGAGUUCAUACGAAAGUUUGCUCUGUUUGACGAACAGCACCGUGAGGAAAUGCGGAAGGAGCGGCGCAGGAUCCAGGAACAAUUACGGCGUUUAAAACGGAACCAAGAAAAAGAGAAACUCAAGGGCCCUCCAGAGAAGAAGCCCAAGAAAAUGAAAGAGCGUCCAGACUUGAAACUAAAAUGUGGAGCAUGUGGUGCAAUUGGCCAUAUGAGGACUAAUAAAUUCUGCCCUCUUUACUACCAAACAAAUGCCCCACCUUCUAAUCCUGUUGCAAUGACAGAGGAGCAGGAGGAAGAGCUGGAAAAGACAGUCAUUCAUAAUGAUAAUGAAGAACUUAUCAAAGUAGAAGGGACAAAAAUUGUCCUGGGAAAGCAACUGAUUGAGAGUGCGGAUGAAGUUCGCAGGAAAUCACUGGUCCUGAAGUUUCCUAAACAGCAGCUGCCUCCAAAGAAGAAGCGGCGAGUAGGGACAACCGUUCACUGUGAUUAUCUGAAUCGUCCUCAUAAAUCUAUCCACCGACGGCGAACAGAUCCCAUGGUGACACUGUCAUCCAUCUUGGAGGGCAUCAUCAAUGACAUAAGGGAUCUUCCUAAUACAUACCCCUUUCAUACACCUGUAAAUCCAAAAGUCGUCAAAGAUUAUUAUAAGAUUAUUACUCGGCCCAUGGAUUUACAGACCCUGCGUGAAAAUGUUCGUAAGCGGCAGUACCCAUCCCGAGAAGAGUUCAGAGAACAUUUGGAACUAAUUGUUAAGAACAGUGCAACAUACAAUGGGCCAAAGCACUCACUGACACAGAUAUCUCAGUCCAUGCUGGACCUGUGUGAUGAAAAGCUAAAAGAGAAGGAAGAUAAACUGGCUCGAUUAGAAAAAGCAAUUAAUCCCCUCCUGGAUGAUGAUGAUCAAGUGGCCUUUUCCUUCAUUUUGGAUAACAUUGUCACUCAAAAGAUGAUGGCAGUUCCAGAUUCAUGGCCAUUUCAUCAUCCAGUUAACAAAAAGUUUGUUCCUGAUUAUUACAAGGUGAUUGCUAAUCCAAUGGAUCUGGAGACUAUCCGCAAGAAUAUCUCCAAGCACAAAUACCAGAACAGAGAAACAUUCCUGGAUGAUGUUAACCUCAUUCUUGCCAACAGCAUUAAGUAUAAUGGGCCAGACAGUCAGUACACAAAAACAGCCCAGGAGAUUGUGAACAUCUGUUAUCAAACUUUAGCUGAGAUUCAAUCUCCUUGAUGUUUGAUCUAGAGGUGCCUCUUUGUUUACUCUUCUCCAUCUGCCUGCAGUUUGUCUUUUAGUAGAGUAUCUAGUUGGAUGGUGUGCUAACAGCUAUUUUUAAAGGAUAAGUAUGAGAAGUGGUUAUGAUGCUUCAGAGUGAGAUACCUAAGACAAAAAAGGUAAUUUCCCAAGCAACUUGCAAAGCUGGUCUCAAGAUGAGCUGUGUACAGUCAGGUACAACUGGAUGUUGGUUGGAAAUUCAAAGACUGUGCAAGUGUAGAAGUUAGAAACCCUGAGAAGGCAAGCAGUGAAAAGGUAAGGAGAACAUGAGGAAAAAACAUCAAUACUGUUGUACUGAGAAGCCAGAGAGCUGUUCGGUGGCUUAUUGCUAUGAGCAAAUAAACUGCCUAAUAUGGUCAGCGAAGUACAACUCCUCUGCAUUCUUUGGUGGGAUUCUUUACAUUUCUUUAUUUUGGUUCUAAUGGAAAUAACUUUUUUUUUUUACUCUUCAUUAUCAUUUUAUAGCAGACAAUUGUGUGUGUCAAGUUAUGUUGUAUGUAUUAUAGACCAAGUUGGAAGCAUAAUUUAUACUGGAGACUGUAUGACAAACAGUGUUUACAAUUUGGCAAAGUUUUAUAAGCUAUUUAGACUUUUUUUUAAUGCUGCUUCUUGCCUCAGGCGGUUUGGUUGUUUUUAAAAACAUUGAUAAAAACUUUCACCAGGAAUGACAAGUUCAUUCCUAAAAAACAAAACUGCCUUUGAAAUUUUUUAAAAUAAAUUAGGUAAGGGGUUCAGGGAAUGUCAUCCUAGUGUCUGAGAUGUGCUUUUGCUUAUUUGGAAAAACUGUUGAAGUUCAUAAGCCUGGGCAAAGAUCUCUCUGCUAACAACUGAAUGAUCAAAAUUCCAAUGUUGUAUACCCACUGUAGGAAGACAGAGUAAAGCUUUCUUUGCAGUUGUUCAUCCCAAUUAUAGACCAAUAAUUUUUCUAUUCUGUGCAAGUAUGAUGUGAUUACAUCUGGAAAGUUGUAGAAAUUAGUUUAACCUUUGUUUAGGCAAUAGGUAUACAAAGAUUAUAUGGCUGGAGCCAGGACAGAAGGCUACAAACAAUUUUGGGGCAAUAUUUAAACAUCCUCCAUCCAUCUCUCCCACAAAAAAAAACCCAAACCAAAUGUAGCAUGUUAGGAAUUUAGAAAGCACUUGCUAGGAAUGAUGAUUGAAUUCAAUGGGGUGGGAAUACUAAAACUGAGUAUCACAGAAAAAGACCUUCCUGGCAAUGGGAAGUGUCAGGCUGCAAGGGAUUCUUUGGAGAUUAGUUGUUGAAACUAUCUAUUAACACAUUUCAAGGAAUAUUAGGUGGAAUCAAAGAUGAUCCCAGUACCUCAGAGAACGAGGGACAAAAAUAUCAGUCUUCUCUAUCUGAUGGUUUCCUUUCCAAGAGCAGUAUUACCUGUUCAGAUUUCUUCCAAGCUGGUGAUCAGGAGAAAGGAAAAGAGGCCUGAGCAGUGAACUGCCUAUUAGUUGUCUGCUCCAUCUCUGACUUGCUAAAGGAGAGAUCUUCCUGAGCAUCUCUCUUCAAUUUGUCAUCUGAAUGCCACCCUUUCCCUCUGCUUUUUGGCUGGAGGUACACUCCCACUUUCCACACUCCCAAACUUGUAACAGAUGGCAGGUCUAGUGAUGGUUACUUGGCUUUAGUUCCCUCUAUUUCAAAUGCAGUUGCAAUGACUAAUAUUUAUCUCCCCAUAUGUGUCUUCAGGAGUUGGCCUCCAGGAUAUAAAAAGCAAAUACAGCAAGUAGUGAGCUGUUUGUGGUUUACAUGUCUAUUGAAAUUCUUAGGAAGGCUGUUUUGCCUGAUUAGAUGGUAUUGCUGCGGCUCUUACCACUUCCAGGAUUGUCAUGGAAGCUGUGUAUUAUAAGGGCAUUUUAUGAAAAUCCUAAUCUGUAGUUACUCAUUAAUUCUUCAGAGGUCAAAUGGCAUGCAAACUACAGAUUGGCUUUUAGAACACUUUAUCCUUUUUAACCCUCUUUUUUUUUUUUUUCUUUUGUCAGCUUUAGGGACUCUUGAGACAGUGAUUUACAUAGAAUUGAUUGAAAGUUGAGGCUUUGUAUGUGCUAGACUUUUUCCAGUUCUGAUACCAUUUGUGGUUGCAACACCAUUUCCAUUGUAGGAAUGGAAAUGAAAAGGGCCAUGCUGAGUCAAACCAAAGGUUGAUGUAACCAAGGAUUCUGUCUCUGGCAGGGAUCAGAACCACCCGAUUUGUAUGAUACCAACACUUCCCUCAGUAUGUCACAUGAUGCUUCAGUCUAUCAAGAUGAGAGCAAUUUUUCUGCUAUGGACACUCCCAUCACUACCCCAGAGAAGCGAGGAUCUCAG